AGAGUUUGAUCAUGGCUCAGAACGAACGUUGGCGGCGUGGAUUAGGCAUGCAAGUCGAACGAGAACCACUGGGCAACUGGUGGGGAAAGUGGCGAAAGGGGCAGUAAUGCGUGGGUAACCUACCUUGGGGACUGGGAUAGCCAUUCUAACGGAUGGGUAAUACCGGGCGAUGUAACGAGGGCGCAUGUUCUUGUUACCAAAUGAGUUUCGCCCCAUGAGGGGCUCACGUGAUAUUAGCUAGUUGGUGAGGUAACGGCUCACCAAGGCUGAGAUGUCUAGCGGGUGUGAGAGCACGACCCGCGCCACUGGCACUGAGACACUGGCCAGACUCCUACGGGAGGCUGCAGUCGAGGAUCUUCGGCAAUGGGCGCAAGCCUGACCGAGCGACGCCGCGUGUGCGAUGAAGGCCUUCGGGUUGUAAAGCACUGUCGAGGGGGAGGAAAGCCCGCAAGGGUCUGACUAAUCCCUGGAGGAAGCACGGGCUAAAUUCGUGCCAGCAGCCGCGGUAAUACGAAUCGUGCGAACGUUGUUCGGAAUCACUGGGCUUAAAGGGCGCGUAGGCGGUCGAUCAAGUCCGGGGUGAAAUCUUUCGGCUUAACCGGAAAAGUGCCUUGGAUACUGAUUGGCUGGAGGGAGAUAGGGGCAGCUGGAACUUCCAGUGGAGCGGUGAAAUGCGUUGAUAUUGGAAGGAACUCCGGUGGCGAAAGCGAGCUGCUGGAUCUCUUCUGACGCUGAUGCGCGAAAGCUAGGGGAGCAAACGGGAUUAGAUACCCUAGUAGUCC
rnacentral:rRNA from 1 species